rnacentral:rRNA from 1 species
CCUACGGGUGGCAGCAGUGAGGAAUAUUGGUCAAUGGGCGUAAGCCUGAACCAGCCAAGUCGCGUGAAGGAUGAAUGUUCUAUGGAUCGUAAACCUCUUUUAUAAGGGAAUAAAGUGUGGGACGUGUCCUUUUUUGUAUGUACUUUAUGAAUAAGGAUCGGCUAACUCCGUGCCAGCAGCCGCGGUAAUACGGAGGAUCCGAGCGUUAUCCGGAUUUAUUGGGUUUAAAGGGUGCGUAGGUGGGCUUUUAAGUCAGCUGUGAAAGUUUGCGGCUCAACCGUAGAAUUGCCGUUGAUACUGGGAGGCUUGAGUAUGUUUGAGGCAGGCGGAAUGCGUGGUGUAGCGGUGAAAUGCUUAGAUAUCACGAAGAACCCCGAUUGCGAAGGCAGCCUGCCAAGCCAUGACUGACGCUGAUGCACGAAAGUGUGGGGAUCAAACAGGAUUAGAUACCCGGGUAGUC